UGAACUGGAAGACCAGAUGGAGUGUUUACAAAGCUCUGCCUCCAGUCCCAUGAGACGGGCAUCAGUCACUCUAAAAGAUGUGGAGGAAGUAGAAGUACUUCUACAGCAGGUUGGACAGAAUCUGGCCGUCCUCAAAGGUUGGUCCAUCCAAAAAAAAAAAAAAAAAAAGGUUGGUCCAUCAAAGCGGCACUGAAGGAAAUUACAUUUUCAUUUAUUAUUUUAAUAAUUAAAUAAGAUUAACUGGACUAGUGCAACACAGUUUAAAUGGUUUUAAACUUUAUUUAAAAACAAAAUUUUCUCACUGUGAAAAAACUCUUUUCAGUACAAGCAUGACCUGACAGCACUUCAAAGUGUUCAACACACCGUUAAAAUCCACCCCGGUUAAUUUACACACGCAAACAAACGUGAAAAUAGUCUUCUACCCCUAUUUCCUGCGUUAGCUGCAUAUACUGUAGAAAAUAGAAACGCUCAGAUUAGAGGAGUCAGAUCUACACCACAACACCUUGUGUUAUUCAUGCAGAUAAAACAUCAACGCUGCAGCGCAAACAGAGUCAGUGGUAGAGUCACGCCUAUGUUAGCCAAUCAGAGGUGAGAUGUCAGAAUAUCAGGAAAUAGGACUCCAAAUCCUGUCGUCUGAAGCUCAGCUUCUACGAACUUCUAUGAAACAAGAGUGCCAAAGCUUCUUUUCAACUCACAUGACGUUCGUUUAUACUAGAGCCAAUCGUAAAUGUGAUGAAAAACUAGUGAUGUUGGUCUUUAAAUGUAUUUGCAGCACAGAAAAAAAACUUUCCAAAGAUUUUAAUGAUCCAUAGUUAGCCAAAAAGCUUGGAGCCCCCCAUUAUUUAGCCUUCAGACCUCACAACUUCAUUUGUGUGUGUGUGUGUGUGUGUGUGUGUGUGUGUGUGUGUGUGUGUGUGUGUGUGUGUGCCAGGAGAAUUCCCCGUGCUGCAGGCCAACAUGUGUUCAGUGCUGAGGACGGAGGUGGAGGCAAUGCGGUUCCUGAAGGAGGAACCUCAUAAGAUGGACUCCAUGUCACAAAGGGUCAAAGUCCUGAGUGACGUUCUCAGCUUCCUUCGCGGGUCUCUGUUAGAGUCAGUUCCUUCAGCCAGAUCAGCGGAAGCAGACCCUCUGAAGGUCUUGGACCAGGAACCCUCAAAUCCCCAGAGCCUUUUCAGCUUUCCAAAACUCCAGUCUCUACAUUCAGUCAGAGCCCUCCUGCCCACUGUCGCCCAAUCCGUGGGCCAGGCUGGGGCAGCAGCCUCUGUGGUUCAGCCCUGCCUCGACCAACUCAGCCCUCCACCAACAUCUGCUCAUGGACAAGACUCACUCACCAUGGCUGAGGCUACACCCAAACAAACUCAAGAUGGUAGGUCGGACGUAGACAUCAGCGAUGCAAACUGGAACCAUUCCACUACCAACGCAGCCACCCAGUUACCUCUCCGUACCAGCACAGGCCAUAUCCAGCUCCUACAGGUGGACCAAACCAUGAAGACCAUCAUCCCUGAGUCAGAUGUCAAAGAGAGUUUCUGUCAUUCAACCUCAAGAUGGACUCGGUCAGAGCAGAACGCACCUCUGGGUGUGCCUGAGCCAGAAAAGGAGCAACUGUCUCACAUCCAAGAAGAUAAAACUCUGCAGCCAAGAGAUGAUGUGAAAUCCUCCCAACGCAGCAAGUCAGAUACAGCUUGUCUGGUCACUUCAUCCCCGGAGCACGGCAGGCAGACACGAGUAGAGAAAACCCACAGCUCCAGUGAGAACAGUGACAGUGGGCUGAGUCGGGACACGUCUCCAGCGUGCUCCACAAGGUUGCAAGACAUCAUGUCAGACGUGAUUCCUCCUUCCCACAAAGAUCCUGCUGGAGCCGCGGUCUCUACAGAAAAGUUUGGUAGGACUCGUCCCCAUGGCAAAGUUACGAAAGAUGCAAAAGAAAAGGAGAGAUCUCCACCCGCUCAAGUGGCCAGUAGGAACUCCACACAGGGUCCCACGAUCAAACCCGUAACAGCAGGUGAACUGCAAGAUCUUCAUGGGGAUGGAAUAAGUGGAAGUCUUGAUGUCAAGAAAGAUGUGGAGGAGAGGGAGGCUGAACAAGGACCUUCCCUCGUCUGUAAAACGCAAGAGAAGCAGGAGAUGUCUUCUCUUGUAGCGUCAGAGGCAUUUCCUCAUCCCUCUGAACUUCUGAACAUGCAAGAGACAAUGGUUCCUACUGGCUCAGCUUCACAGCAGCAACAGGUUCUUUAUGUAAACAAUCGAUGUCAAACUGUCAAAAUCAAUGUUGAUCAGUCUCCAUCUCCAACCACGGCAGAAAAGAACGACAUUGUUGUGCUGCAAAAUGAACCGAAUCAAGGAACUGUCGCAGUUCGUGAACAGACAUUCAAAAAGUUUGGAAAGAAAUCACCAGCUGAGAAGUCUAGUCCAGGAGAACUGGCACACAAACAAGGAAAGUCCAAGUCCUGGACGAUAAGGCCAUCACACGUGGUGCAGCAGGACGAGACCCUGAGCUCCAGCGAGGACCAUGAAACAUCCUUCCCACCUUCGUCUCUGUCACCUCAGAACAGAGAGCAGCAAAUCCGGGAGGAAACGGUGCCGAUGUUUAGAGACCAGGCGCUGAUCAGUGAAGAGGGAGGCAGCUUCAGCCACAAUAUUUGGGACAUUGAAGAACCACCUCCUCCUCCACUGACUCACAGACUCGUCAUGACUAACAUCUGGUCAAAAUCUAACAUGGACGAUCCACACAACAGGCAGAACAGCAAAUGUGAGAACGGUGCUCUUGUUAAUAUGGGCCAUGAGAACUACGGUUUCGAGGACAGGGAUGAGUCCGACUCUGAACCUACGAUGGCUUUCUUCAACAUGCCUGUGGACCCUCCAUCACCCUACACGCCUCUGUCUACCAUCUUUGAGUAUGAAGAAGAUCUUGAAGUGACUUUGUGUCGGGAUGGAUUUUUAAAAGAGUCACAAUUUGAAGAGGAGCAACGUGCCGACCCUGAUUUAGGGUUACGCCUCGCUGACAUCUCAGGGAACGGCUCGAAUUUUCCACAGCACUCAGAACUGUGUGUUUCACACCCUCAAAACCAAGGCCAGGCUCACACAAACUGCUCCGCAAAGACCGAAGCAAAAAGCAAAUUCAAAUUUAAGUUUCCCAAACUGUCUGCACUCAGCCAGGCUAUUGGGAUGGGGACAAAGACGGCUGAAGCAGACAAAGAAAAGAAGGUGGCGUCAGAGUGCAGGUCAGUCGUGGAGACCAAGACUCAAAUAAAAGAAUGCAUGACCUCUGAGGUCAACGGCAGUAAAGAGCUCAGCGUGAGCAGGAGUAACUCCUGUAGCAAAGACACCCCUACAGACGCUAGGAUGUCUGAGUCGCACGCUCGGGUAGAAGCACUUUGCAAGAACGCGUUUAAAUCUAUCAGCAGCUUAGAAGAGUCCAUCAAGCAGCUGGAAAUCAGCAUGGACAAUAUGGCUGCCCCUUCUUCUCCUCUCCCUACAGUGGCUUCACCUUCUCAGGAUCAGAGGUUUUCCUUUGAUUCUACUGACAGGCAUACACCUAAAGGCAAAUCUAAACUAGAGGAGGAGAGAAGACACGCCACCCAGACGUCUGAAGACCCAAAUCCAGCUGAGAGGAAGCGAGCCAGAUCACAGCCGUCUCACAACUCAGGGAGAGUCGUCACCAAAAGACAGGCUUUUUAGUUCCAGUCUGAGCCUGAGGCCUCCCCUCCUCUCAUCCAGCUGUGUGAUAUAGCUUCCACACACUGACAUCACCUGGACCAGGCAGAGGCCUCACAGCAGCAACUAAGCUAACCUCAACCCAUCCACAUCCUCCUGAACAUCACUCAUCACCUUUUACCCUCAACUAUGGACCAGGGGCCAGUCUGUGGGAGUGCCACACCAUGAGCCAAUGUUUUCAUCCCAUCUUCAGUCUGGAACAGUGCAACCUUCCAGAAGCUGCAGACUAUAGACUACCAGGAGAGUGAAGUCUUUUCAUUUCCACUCCUAAGUUGUUUUUCUAAAGUUUCCUGUUUGAAAAAGCUGAAUAAGCGUGAGUUCAGAUGUUCUGAGGCCAAACUAUCGUGGUGCCGUUGUGAGUGAGCCUUUAGGGAAGCUAACAGCCACCAGAGGUUUGAGGGGUUUUACAUGUGUGUGUCUUUGAAUGUAUGAGAAAACAUCUGGUGGUAAAGGUGAAUAAAGGGGCGUGGCUCAGUGGGAGGAGCCUGUUCAGCUCAGGAUCCAUCUUUUUGUUGCUGGUUUAGUCUAGAGGGCUGAGUUCUCUGGUGAGUCAGGUCCUGAUGUAGACCUGACUCCUCAGAACAGAUAGGUCCUUCUGUGAAUAAGGAAGGGAUGGAAUCUGGGAUGGAUCUCCUUCUCCCCCGUCGGGGAGAACUCCAAGGUCAGAAAAUUCCAGGAUGUUCAAAAACCCAAUUUUGUAUAAAGUCCUUUCUUGCUUUACAGCAUUUCCCCUCUGAAUUCCUCUCUUGUUCAUAUUAACAACUCAUUUUUAUAUUACUUGAAACCAUUUAAUUAUGUUUGAUUUGGUAAGAGUUGUAAACUUUGUUUAUUGUAAAUCAAAAACUGAAAUCCAAUAAAUAUUUUUAUGUCAGUGUUUGCUGCUUUAUUUUAAUUUUUUUAUACAAAAAUAACCACGAGAUGUUUACAUCGAGACGGACCUGAAACCUGUUGAGCUGCGUAAGCAUCACACGGCUCCAGCCCGGCAACGCCACACACAGCCUCCCUACAGACGCUGCUCAUCAUCAGGAUGCAUCUUACAGUCUGUGUGUGUGUGUGUGUGUGUGUGUGUGAGAGAGAGAGAGAGAGAG
ensembl:lncRNA